CGGUACAGUGUGCGCGAGAA
rnacentral:misc_RNA from 1 species